UACGUAGGGUGCGAGCGUUGUCCGGAAUUACUGGGCGUAAAGAGCUCGUAGGUGGUUUGUCGCGUUGUUCGUGAAAACUCACAACUCAAUUAUGGGCGUGCGGGCGAUACGGGCAGACUGGAGUACUGCAGGGGAGACUGGAAUUCCUGGUGUAGCGGUGGAAUGCGCAGAUAUCAGGAGGAACACCGGUGGCGAAGGCGGGUCUCUGGGCAGUAACUGACGCUGAGGAGCGAAAGCGUGGGGAGCGAACAGG
rnacentral:rRNA from 1 species